rnacentral:rRNA from 1 species
UACAGAGGUCCCGAGCGUUGUUCGGAUUCACUGGGCGUAAAGAGCUCGUAGGCGGCUUGUCACGUCGGGUGUGAAAGCCCGGGGCUUAACCCCGGGUCUGCAUUCGAUACGGGCUAGCUAGAGUGUGGUAGGGGAGAUCGGAAUUCCUGGUGUAGCGGUGAAAUGCGCAGAUAUCAGGAGGAACACCGGUGGCGAAGGCGGAUCUCUGGGCCAUUACUGACGCUGAGGAGCGAAAGCGUGGGGAGCGAACAGG